rnacentral:tRNA from 1 species
UGCGAGGUCGUCUAAUGGUAGGACAGUGCCCUUUGAAGGCAUCGAUGAUGGUUCGAAUCCAUCCCUCGCAG